UACGUAGGGGGCAAGCGUUAUCCGGAUUUACUGGGUGUAAAGGGAGCGUAGACGGCGAUGCAAGCCAGAUGUGAAAGCCCGGGGCUCAACCCCGGGACUGCAUUUGGAACUGUAUAGCUAGAGUACCGGAGAGGUAAGCGGAAUUCCUAGUGUAGCGGUGAAAUGCGUAGAUAUUAGGAGGAACACCAGUGGCGAAGGCGGCUUACUGGACGGAAACUGACGUUGAGGCUCGAAAGCGUGGGGAGCAAACAGG
rnacentral:rRNA from 1 species